CAGGCCUGAGAUGUCUUGGACCCAGAGUCCAUCAGGGACACUCUGACCCCCUCCAUGUGCUCCUGGGUUUCACAGGAUCAAUUCCUUGCUGACUCAUGGGGUCAGGAGCAGCAUGAUGGUGGGAGGUGAGAGGAGUGAUCACUUGCCCUCAGCAGAACUGAUCAGGGGGCUCUCCCUGUCUCCUGCCCCCCCCAUUUCUCAGGAAUGUGAAGGGUGAUCUGGGACUGAGUGAUGGACUGAUGUGGCCUGUGGGUGGACAAUCAGGGUGGAGAAGGGACAGUCCGGGUGGGAUGGACCCCAGGCAGCCCCCACAUGGCACCAGCCUUCUCCUGCCCUGUUCACAGAAGCCCCCAGAGUCAUCAGCUCCACCUCAACCACACUCACAAAGCCCCCCCUCCACAGCUGGCCGGGCAACAGAGCUUCUUUAUAUUCUUGUUGGGAUUUGUGUGGCCUCUCUGCUUUGUCUCCUCCUCCUGGCCUUCCUCUUAGUCCACUGCCAGCGUCAGAAAAAAUGUGGGCCCCCCAGCAGCAAGGAUGAGGA